AGUGAACGCUGGCGGUAGGCCUAACACAUGCAAGUCGAACGGCAGCACAGUAAGAGCUUGCUCUUACGGGUGGCGAGUGGCGGACGGGUGAGGAAUACAUCGGAAUCUACUUUUUCGUGGGGGAUAACGUAGGGAAACUUACGCUAAUACCGCAUACGACCUACGGGUGAAAGCCGGGGAUCUUCGGACCUUUCGCGAUUGAAUGAGCCGAGGUCGGAUUAGCUAGUUGGCGGGGUAAAGGCCCACCAAGGCGACGAUCCGUAGCUGGUCUGAGAGGAUGAUCAGCCAGACUGGAACUGAGACACGGUCCAGACUCCUACGGGAGGCAGCAGUGGGGAAUAUUGGACAAUGGGCGCAAGCCUGAUCCAGGCAUACCGCGUGAGUGAAGAAGGCCGUCGGGUUGUAAAGCCCUUUUGUUGGGAAAGAAAAGCAGCAGGUUAAUACCCCGCUGUUCUGACGGUACCCAAAGAAUAAGCACCGGCUAACUUCGUG
rnacentral:rRNA from 1 species